GACGAACGCUGGCGGCGUGCCUAAUACAUGCAAGUAGAACGCUGAAGGAGGAGCUUGCUCUUCUGGAUGAGUUGCGAACGGGUGAGUAACGCGUAGGUAACCUGCCUGGUAGCGGGGGAUAACUAUUGGAAACGAUAGCUAAUACCGCAUAACAGCAGAUGUUGCAUGACAUUUACUUAAAAGGUGCAAUUGCAUCACUACCAGAUGGACCUGCGUUGUAUUAGCUAGUUGGUGGGGUAACGGCUCACCAAGGCGACGAUACAUAGCCGACCUGAGAGGGGGAUCGGCCCCACUGGGACUGAGACACGGCCCAGACUCCUACGGGAGGCAGCAGUAGGGAAUCUUCGGCAAUGGACGGAAGUCUGACCGAGCAACGCCGCGUGAGUGAAGAAGGUUUUCGGAUCGUAAAGCUCUGUUGUAAGAGAAGAACGAGUGUGAGAGUGGAAAGUUCACACUGUGACGGUAUCUUACCAGAAAGGGACGGCUAACUACGUG
rnacentral:rRNA from 1 species